rnacentral:ncRNA from 2 species
GGCUAAAUACGGGCGAGAGACCGA